rnacentral:hammerhead_ribozyme from 1 species
AUACAGUUGACGAGUCCUAAAUAGGACGAAAUGAACAUCGUGUUU